GGCUCGAGGACGAACGCUGGCGGCGUGCUUAAUACAUGCAAGUCAACUUGACUUUAGAUAGCAAUAUCGAAAAGUAGGGUGGCGCACGGGUGCGUAACGCGUAGGUAAUCUGCCCUGAGGUCUGACAUAACCCGUCGAAAGGCGGGCUAACAUCAGAUGAUAUAUAAUCACGACAUCGUGGAAAUAUCAAAUCUUCGGAGCCUUGGGAUGAGCCUGCGUCUGAUUAGGUAGUUGGCGGAGUAAUAGCCCACCAAGCCUACGAUCAGUAGCUGGUCUGAGAGGAUGAUCAGCCACACUGGAACUGAGACACGGUCCAGACUCCUACGGGAGGCAGCAGUAAGGAAUAUUGCUCAAUGGGGGGAAACCCUGAAGCAGCAACGCCGCGUGAAGGAUGAAAUACUUUGUAUGUAAACUUCUGUAAGAUGGGAAAAAUAUUCUCCUCGGGAGAAUUGAUUGUACCAUCAGAGUAAGCCCCGGCUAACUACGUG
rnacentral:rRNA from 1 species